rnacentral:misc_RNA from 1 species
GAUGAAGAACGCAGCGAAAUGCGAUAAGUAAUGUGAAUUGCAGAACUCAGUGAAUCAUCGAAUCUUUGAACGCACAUUGCGCCCCCUGGUAUUCCGGGGGGCAUGCCUGUCCGAGCGUCAUUACAACCCUCAAGCUCAGCUUGGUGUUGGGCCCCGCCGCCCCGGCGGGCCCUAAAGUCAGUGGCGGUGCCGUCCGGCUCCGAGCGUAGUAAUUCUUCUCGCUCUGGAGGCCCGGUCGUGUGCUCGCCAGCAACCCCCAAUUUUUUUCAGGUUGACCUCGGAUCAGGUAGGGAUACCCGCUGAACUUAAGCAUAUCAAUAAGCGGAGGA